UACGUAGGGUGCAAGCGUUGUCCGGAAUUAUUGGGCGUAAAGAGCUCGUAGGCGGUCUGUCGCGUCGGACGUGAAAAUCCAGGGCUCAACCCUGGACCUGCGUUCGAUACGGGCAGACUAGAGUUCGGUAGGGGAGACUGGAAUUCCUGGUGUAGCGGUGAAAUGCGCAGAUAUCAGGAGGAACACCGGUGGCGAAGGCGGGUCUCUGGACAGUUCCUGACGCUGAGGCACGAAGGUCAGGGGAGCAAACGGG
rnacentral:rRNA from 1 species